rnacentral:lncRNA from 1 species
ACGGAAUUGUUUUUCGCUGGUAUGACAUUUAAAAUUGAGAUUGCAGUAAGACAAGUCGUGGGGCAGUUUGGUAAGAGACUUGGUGUACUAUAUCGUGCAUACCCGGUACUCGUUGACCCCUAGCAGCACCGACGUCCACCGUGAACAAGAAGCACGUCCACGGAAAAAAAGGUUCAGAAUCGGGCUUACCAACACGCCAUCCUUUGUCUAAACCUUACAACAUGAUAUGUCAGACUCAACCAAGGCUGGAACAACGCAGCCUUGCGGCUUAGCUGUCAACUACUUGGUGAAGUGUUGCUACACCAAAGUCAGGGUUAUGUGCAACAGGACUGUUGACCGUUAACGAUGAGGCCUCUCCUGCGUCGAAACACACGAUGAAUCAUUCACGCAUCCUUCACCAGUUCCGUGAGACGUAUUUAUGCAUGACCAAAGCGUCAUCCUCAACCCUCGGUCGUCCAAUUUUGCUCCAGAGCGGAUGAGGGAGUAUGAGAUACGAGCUGGAGGGGCGUCUGCAAACGCUCGCGUCUCUCGCCUUGCCAGGGAUAAAGAAUAUCCAGGGCAUUCUGCGUCACUACCGUCUACACUUCACCGAGAAAGAAGAUGUCUGUUCUGUGUUUAAAGUCUAGUGUCGUCUGUCACCUGCGUCCACUUGCUGCCUAACAGGAAGUGAACCCCCGAAAGACCGGUGUUUGUCAUUGGGGGAAGACGGGGGCAGAUAUACCAGAAUGGCAAUUUUGAUGGGAAAGAAGUCCAUCCUCUCACUGUCGGGCCCACAUCCUGGGGCACGUGGACAGCCAGAAAGCAACUUCCUGACGGUCUUGCAGUGGAAAGUACGGGAACCAUCUUAAAAUAACCGGGAUGGUUUCUCUUGGCAUUUCCAGCAGCGAUCGCGUUCGGUCCGGGUCUGCCAAGAUCCGCAACUGCUGGUAGAAUCGGCUGAAUAUGUCGAUUGUGACCGCGCUUAAACAGCUUAGAAGUGCCACAGACAGUUUCUGCAACCUAUAUAUAUGCAUGCAUAUAUAUAUAUAUAUAUAUAUAUACAUACACAUGGAAAGAAAGAAAGAACCAGCUCUUCCUCACAUGUACGUUCAUCGGGGGUCGAUGCUCGUGAAGGCAGGGGGAGUUGGAUGCAAAGUAAACCGAAAGCGGAGAGUAUGCUUUUCAUAUUGAUGAGAUUGAAACCCUGUUUUUCGUUUGAGAGCUUCAUUUCCGCGAACUUGGUGUCGGAGGAUCACUGAACACCUGACUUCACCUCGGCAUUGUUGUGAGAAGUCAACUCCUCACAACCGACCUUCAAUGGCCGCUUACUGUCCUCCUAUCACAUUGUUCUAAAUGAAUGCGCCC